rnacentral:rRNA from 1 species
GACGAACGCUGGCGGCGUGCCUAAUACAUGCAAGUCGAACGCAGUGGGGACGGGUGAGUAACACGUUGGUAACCUCCCAUCAGAGGGGAUAACACUUGGAAACAGGUGCUAAACCGAUACUGAUGGAUGGACUCGCGGUGCAGUAGCUAGUUGGUGUGGUAACGGCUCACCAAGGCCCCGAUGCAUAGACGACCUGAUAGGGUGAUCGGUCACACUGGGACUGAGACACGUCCCAGACGCCUACGGGAGGCAGCAGUAGGCAAUCGUCGGCAAUGGACGAAAGUCUGACCGAGCCACGCCGCGUGAGUGAAGAAGGUUUUCGGAGCGUAAAACUCUGGUGUUAGAGAAGCGGUAUCUAACCAGAAAGCCACGGCUAACUACGUGCCAGCAGCCGCGGUAAUUG